ensembl:lncRNA
GGAACACACACCAAAAGGAAAAGCCAGAAGGCAUAGAAAGAAAUAUGAUAAUUGCUGGGUCACACCCCAAAUGCCUACAAAACUUAAGGUAGGGCCAGGUCAGAAAGAAGCCCAGACUUCCAUUUGGUCUCCCACAUGGGUUGUAGGAAUCCAACUGAUUAAAACAUCAGCUGCUGCCUCCUAGUAAAGAAUGGGAACGAGGCUGUGAUAGACACCAAGGCAAGAGCCCAGUCAGCACCCUACUCAGAGGCACCAGUAGGGAGUUUCCUACAUGGGAUCAGAUCCAUAAACAAUAAACAUAAAUCAGUUGUCUGACUGCUAAAUAUAAAUCUUAGCAUUUUUCAACUGUGUGAGGAAGGACUCUGUGUAUGAUACACUGUCUUGUUAUUUUUCUCUUAGCUGGUGGUCAACUCAAAGAAAUGGAACCAGGCAAUGAGACACGACUUUCAACAUUUCUUCUCCUGGGAUUCUCAGAGGACCCAGCACUGCAGCCCCUCAUAUGUGGGCUCUUCCUCUCCAUGUACCUGGUCACUGUGGCUGGGAACCUGCUCAUCAUCCUGGCCAUCCUCUCAGACCCCCACCUCCACACGCCCAUGUACUUCUUCCUCUCCAACCUGUCCUUGGUGGACGUCUGCUUCUCCUCCACCACCGUCCCCAAGAUGCUGGUGAACAUCCAGACAUAGAGCAAAGCCAUCAGCUAUGCAGGCUGCGUCACCCAGAUGAUUUUUGUUAGAGUUGGACAACUUUCUCCUGGCCAUGAAUGCCUAUGUCUGGUUUGUGGCCAUCUGUCACCCCUGCACUACACGGUCAUCAUGAACCCCCGGCUCUGAGUGCAGCUGGUCCUGGUGUGCUGGGUCAUCAGUGUUCUGAGUUCCUUGUUGCAAAGCCUAAUGGUGCUGCAGCUGUCUUGCACACACGUGGAAAUCUCCCACUUCUUCUUUCUCAGGGCUGUGCCUGGAGCUCCAGCCCUCCGUGCACCUGCUCACCCUGGCCCGCUGGGGCCCACAGACGCUGCUGCUGCGCUUGGAGCACCAGUUUGCCAGUGGGGAGGACUCGGGCCGCAACUUGAGCUCCCCUGUGACCUUGGAUUUACAGAACCUGUUCUCCACCUUCACCAUCACCUGCCUGCAGGAGACCACGCUGGUGGCCAACCAGCCCCGGGCCAGCGCCUCCAGGCUCCAGUGGACCCCAGACACCGGGUGAAUUUUCCAAGUCUCCCUGCACACGGAGUCACUCACUGGGGCCUGUCCUGCCUGGUGACCAGUCUUUGGAUGCUCCAAAUGUUCCUUCAUCCCGUCUGUCCCAGGAGCUGUCCCUAGGUGGUUAGGUAAGCCAGGGGAAAGGGAUGGGAAUUUGUGGCUCUGUAGUGUUUCCCAGUUGUACCUGUCCAACUGGCCUGUGUGGCAUGGGCCAGCGAGCGAGGCUCACCAUGAAGGAUGAGGUACCCUGCUCCUGCUCGGUCCUACUGGGCCUUGGUGCUUCUCUGUUAUCUCACUGUCUCUCUUGAGGGAGGCACAGGCUCAGCCAUGAGUGAGGCCCUAGGAGAGCUCCCCACACCCAUCUGCCAUGUUAGGCCUGCUGUCAGGGGUCUCCCUGAGAACAUUGCUACAUCCCAGUCCAGGGGUAGGGUGAUACACUGAGCUCCAACAAGACCCUGUUUCUUUUUUUUUCUUUUAAGCAUUUUAUAAUGAUUUUAAGUUUUACAAUUCCUUUCAUAAUUUUCUCGCUACUGAAUUCUCCCUUGUUCUUAAGUUGUUUUCCUGUCAUGUCCAUGUUUAUCGUUAGUUUUUUAAAAAGAUUUAUUUAUUAUAAACUCUACCAUGUGCUCAAAAUCUGUAGCUUGCUGGACGAUCUUGACAUGCACACCCAGAGAGGAGUGUGGGUGUUAGUGCCACCUUCGCCCCAGAAGGAACUUUAUGGCUUUACCGUCCCAGGAAAUGGCUCACAGCAUAUUUCUGGAGGAUUUGAUUAUAUAGGGAAUCACAGCUGAUUGAGGACAGCUGGCAUGGUUCAAUUCUGUUGUGACAGAAGAUACUGGGUGUGAUUUCAUAGCUGCCAUGAAGGCGUCUUCCCUUCCAUUUCCAUAUUUUAACUGAUCUUGCUGGUUACCUGUGGCUCGUCUUGGGAGGGGUGGUAUCUGCCUGAGUUUCAGGAGCCUACUGAGAGGAGAGGGCUUGGUGUGGCAGAUGUCACUCUCAGCUAAGGAGAAAGUGUGCAGCCUUCAACUCUGGACAGCUGAACUCCGUCAGGAAGCCUCCACCUGGUUGACCCCCUGGGUCUCUCGGAUGCCCCAUCACCUCAACAGAGCCCAAAGAUCUCACUGGCUUUCUAACCCCUACCUGUAGCUACUCUGUCCCUUUAAAACCUUUUCUGGGGCCGGCGCCACAGCUCAACAGGCUAAUCCUCCGCCUAGCGGCGCUGGAUUCUGUCCCGGUUGCCCCUCUUCCAGGCCAGCUCUCUGCUGUGGCCCGGGAGUGCAGUGGAGGAUGGCCCAAGUGCUUGGGCCCUGCACCCCAUGGAAGACCAGGAGAAGCACCUGGCUCCUGCCUUCGGAUCAGCACAGUGAGCCGGCCGCAGCGGCCAUUGGAGGGUGAACCAACGGCAAAGGAAGACCUUUCUCUCUGUCUCUCUCUCUCUCACUGUCCACUCUGCCUGUCAAAAAAAAAAAAAAACCCUUUCUGGGUCUGGCACUGUGGUGUAGAUGGUUAAGCCACUGCCAGUAGCAGUGGUAUCCUUUAUGGGUGCCGGUUUGAGUCCUGGCUGCUCCACUUCUGAUCUGGCGCCCUGCUAUUGCACUUGGGAUAGCAGUAGAAGAUGGCCCAAACCCUUGGGUCCCUGCCACCCACGUGGGAAACCCAGAAGAAGCUCUUGGCUUUGGCCUAGCCCAGCCCUAGCCCUUGCAGCCAUUUGGAGAGUAAAUCAGCAGAUGGAAGGUCUCUGUAAAUUUCUGCCUUUCAAAGAAAUAACUCUUAAAAGUGGACACCAUUCUCUCCCAUGUCUCCACGUAGCCAUCCCUCUGUGCAUGUGUCCUUGUCCUACUCUCCUCUGGUUGUAGGGACACCCGAAUGACCCCAUUGAAUCUCCCAGUACAGUCACCUUCUAAGAUGGGGGGAUCAGGAUGUCAGUAUAGCAUUCAGGGGAACACACUUCAGCUCACUGCAUGGACUCAAAUACAAUGUUAAGGUCAUGUGUACGGAACCAGCGCUGGCACCUAGUAGGUUAAGCCUCCACCUGCAGUGCCAGCUUCCCAUAUGUGCACUGGUUUGAGUCCCAGCUGCUCCACUUCUGAUUCAGCUCCCUGCUAAUGCACCUGGGAAACCAGUGCAAGAUGGCCCAAGUGCUUGGGCCCCUGCACCCACGUGGGAAGCCUGGAAGAAGCUCCUGGCUUCAGAUUAGCUCAGCUCCAGCCAUUGAGGCCAGUUAGGGACUGAACCAGUGGAUGGAAGAUCUCUCUCUCUCUCUCUCUCUCUCUCUAUAUAUAUAUAUAUAUAUAUAUACAUAUAUAUAUAUAUAUAUAUCCCUAGUCUCUUCCUCUCUCUGUCUGUAACUGUACCUCUCAAGUAAAUAAAUAAUUUUAUUAGGGGCUAAAUUAAUUCUUU